GUGUUCGUAGUUCAUCUGGAUAGAGCGGCGGACUUCGAAUCCGUAGGCGGUAGGUUUGAGUCCUGUCGGACAUC
rnacentral:tRNA from 1 species